rnacentral:rRNA from 1 species
AUUGAACGCUGGCGGCAGGCCUAACACAUGCAAGUCGAAUGGUAACAGGAAACAGCUUGCUGUUUCGCUGACGAGUGGCGGACGGGUGAGUAAUGUCUGGGAAACUGCCUGAUGGAGGGGGAUAACUACUGGAAACGGUAGCUAAUACCGCAUAACGUCGCAAGACCAAAGAGGGGGACCUUCGGGCCUCUUGCCAUCAGAUGUGCCCAGAUGGGAUUAGCUAGUAGGUGGGGUAACGGCUCACCUAGGCGACGAUCCCUAGCUGGUCUGAGAGGAUGACCAGCCACACUGGAACUGAGACACGGUCCAGACUCCUACGGGAGGCAGCAGUGGGGAAUAUUGCACAAUGGGCGCAAGCCUGAUGCAGCCAUGCCGCGUGUAUGAAGAAGGCCUUCGGGUUGUAAAGUACUUUCAGCGGGGAGGAAGGGAGUAAAGUUAAUACCUUUGCUCAUUGACGUUCCCGCAGAAGAAGCACCGGCUAACUCCGUG